UACGUAGGUGGCAAGCGUUAUCCGGAAUUAUUGGGCGUAAAGGGAGCGUAGGCGGAUUUUUAAGUGAGAUGUGAAAUACUCGGGCUCAACUUGAGUGCUGCAUUUCAAACUGGAAGUCUAGAGUGCAGGAGAGGAGAAUGGAAUUCCUAGUGUAGCGGUGAAAUGCGUAGAGAUUAGGAAGAACACCAGUGGCGAAGGCGAUUCUCUGGACUGUAACUGACGCUGAGGCUCGAAAGCGUGGGGAGCAAACAGG
rnacentral:rRNA from 1 species